rnacentral:rRNA from 1 species
ACAAGCGCGGAGCAUGCGGAUUAAUUCGAUGCAACGCGAAGAACCUUACCAAGGCUUGACAUACGCCGGUAACGCCCAGAGAUGGGUGCCCCUUUGUGGUCGGUGUACAGGUGGUGCAUGGUUGUCGUCAGCUCGUGUCGUGAGAUGUUGGGUUAAGUCCCGCAACGAGCGCAACCCUCGUCCUAUGUUGCCAGCGGGUCAUGCCGGGGACUCAUGGGAGACUGCCGGGGUCAACUCGGAGGAAGUGGGGAUGACGUCAAAUCAUCAUGCCCCUUAUGUCUUGGGCUUCACGCAUGCUACAAUGGCCGGUACAAAGGGCUGCGAUACCGCGAGGUGGAGCGAAUCCCAGAAAGCCGGUCUCAGUUCGGAUUGGGGUCUGCAACUCGACCCCAUGAAGUCGGAGUCGCUAGUAAUCGCAGAUCAGCAACGCUGCGGUGAAUACGUUCCCGGGCCUU